rnacentral:rRNA from 1 species
UACAGAGGGUGCGAGCGUUGUCCGGAAUCACUGGGCGUAAAGAGCUCGUAGGCGGUCUGUCGCGUCGAAUGUGAAAACCCGGGGCUCAACCCCGGGCCUGCAUUCGAUACGGGCAGACUAGAGUUCGGUAGGGGAGUCUGGAAUUCCUGGUGUAGCGGUGAAAUGCGCAGAUAUCAGGAGGAACACCGGUGGCGAAGGCGGGACUCUGGGCCGAUACUGACGCUGAGGAGCGAAAGCGUGGGGAGCGAACAGG